CACCGGGAAGUAGCUGAAGACAGGACGAUGGCAGUUCUGGAGGCCUCCCUCCAGGGCAGCCCGGAGGCCGUAGUGCCCCCGCGGUAGACCGGACCAGGGUGGCGGGCUCCGGACUCCGAGGGAUGGAGGGAUCUAAGACGUCCAGCAGCACCAUGCAGGAUGGAUGUGGAAAAAGGCAAGAUUGAAGACACAGGAGGCAGCGGCGGCUCCUAUUCCAUCAAAACCCAGUUUAACUCUGAGGAACAGUGGACAAAAGCUCUCAAGUUCAUGCUGACGAAUCUUAAGUGGGGUCUUGCUUGGGUGUCCUCACAGUUUUAUAAUAAAUGACUUUCUGUUUUCCUUAGCGGGAUGUUUGCCUUAAAGGCUUUAAAUUUUGUUUUCUUUGAAAAGUUUUAAAUUAACUUUGGGUAUUAUUAAACACAUGUUUACAAUACCAAAAAGAAAAAAAAAGAAAAAAUCUACAAAAGCCACUUUAUUGUAAAA